UACGUAGGGUGCGAGCGUUAAUCGGAAUUACUGGGCGUAAAGCGUGCGCAGGCGGUGAUUCAAGUUGGAUGUGUAAUCCCCGAGCUCAACUUGGGAACUGCAUCCAAGACUGGAUUGCUAGAGUGCUGGAGAGGGUGGUGGAAUUCCUCGUGUAGCGGUGAAAUGCGUAGAGAUGAGGAGGAACACCAGUGGCGAAGGCGGCCACCUGGACAGUAACUGACGCUGAGGCGCGAAAGUGUGGGGAGCAAACAGGAUUAGAACCUCCGU
rnacentral:rRNA from 1 species